GUGUUUCUCGCUCUGGAGUCUGGAUCUGUGGCUGCGAGUCACCUGCUCACCUACACAACAUCCACUACUAUAAUUAUUACUAGUUCUAUUAUUAUCAUUAAUAUUACUAUAAUUAUCAGUACCAUUAUUUGAUUCUGUACCAACACUACUUUAACUGUUUGUAUUUUCUGUGUGGACACUGUGGACAUCAAAUGGACACAGAUCCCAUCCCAAAGGAUGCUCUGACAUGGAGUCCUCCAGGCAAUAUGGCCCGAAGCAGAACUGUGAUGGAGAAGGGAAUGAAGUGGAUUAAACAAAUAGUUUCACAUUUAGGGAAAUGGGCUUAUUUGCUUUUUGGUAAAGAGUUCGAUGAGAAGAUUAAUACCACACUCAGCCAGCAGCCAGUUAGCUUAGCUUAGCUCAAAGACUCAAAAGUCAAAAACUUCGGUAUGGCUUGACGUAAGGAGCAGCUUGGCCUCUUUGAUCACUCUGGACCCUCAGGGCCACUCAGCUGCUCCUGCUGCAGCCCAUCAGUCUGAGAGAAGACGUGAUGCAGAGGGGAUUUUCAUCCAUCUUUCUGUCUCUCUGUUUGUAUGUGUUGCCGUCGCCACCCUCAUCACCAUAGAGACGUACACGAGAGGGUCUAAGGGAGAGUGAGCUGCAUUGAUGAGCUCAAGACUCAUCGACUGAAUAAAGAGGAGGGCGUGUGUAUGUUCAUAGAGUUCCUAAAGGUCCUUCCAAAGUUCUUUAAAUGGAUGGAGGUCUUUGAAAGAUUCACAUGGUCCUUGAAGGGGUUCCAGUGAUCCUUUGAGAGUUUCCAGUGGUCAUUGAAAGGAUUAUACAGGUCUCUGGAGAUCUUCCUAGGACCCAUUGACAGUGUUCCAGUGGGACUUGAAGAUGAAAUCCACAUGAAACACUAACAAGAAGUUGUCUCAAAGUGUAGACGCCCAUCCAUCCAUUGUUGGCUGGAGCCAAUCCCAGCUGACAUCGGGCGAAAGGCGGGGUACACCCUGGACACGUCUUCAGUCCAUCGCAGGGCCACACAUAUACAAAGACCCAUUCACACUCACAUUCACACCUAAGCACAACUUCAGAGUCACCAAUUAACCUGGCCUGCAUGUCUCUGGAUGGUGGGAAGAAGCCGGACGACCCGGAGAGAACCCACGCAGACACGGGGAGAACAUGCAAACUCCACACAGAAAGGCCGGGUACUACCAUUUUACUUUAACUGAGCGAAUUAGAAGUUUCCAGAGUUUUUUUGUACUGCUUGGAACUGAACUUUGGAAUUGGAAUAAAUGAGCCAGAGGUGUUUGUAAAAACAGAUGUUGUCUUUGCAGUAGUUGACAAAACCUCAUGUCACUCAAUCUCACCACAUGAUUUUUAUUUUAUACCUGCUCUAGAGCUUUCAGUCGUUGAAUGAUCUCCUCAGGAGAACGACGCUGCGCUUUAAUGACUGUUUAAUGAUGAAUGUUAAAAGUUAAGAUUAAAAGUUCACUAUGACCUUGGAAACAUUUUAUUUUUGAUUUUAAAAUGUUUAUGGCAAGUCAUGCAUGUAAAAUGAGUAAGAAUUAACAUUAUACAGAUUUAAA